rnacentral:rRNA from 1 species
ACGCUGGCGGCACGCCUAACACAUGCAAGUCGAACGAAGUAGCAAUACUUAGUGGCAGACGGGUGAGUAACAUGUAGGUAUCUGCCCUUUGGCCUGGAAUAACACGAGGAAACUUGUGCUAAUACCGGAUAAGUCUUUACGGAGAAAGCUUUAUGCACCAUUGGAUGAGCCUGCACUUGAUUAGUUUGUUGGUGGGGUAAUGGCCUACCAAGACUGUGAUCAAUAGCUGAUUUGAGAGGAUGAUCAGCCACAUUGGGACUGAGACACGGCCCAAACUCCUACGGGAGGCAGCAGUGGGGAAUCUUGCACAAUGGAGGAAACUCUGAUGCAGCGAUGCCGCGUGAGUGAAGAAGGCCCUUGGGUUGUAAAGCUCUUUCGUCGGGGAAGAAAAUGACUGUACCCGAAUAAGAAGGUCCGGCUAACUUCGUGCCAGCAGCCGCGGUAAUACGAAGGGACCUAGCGUAGUUCGGAAUUACUGGGCUUAAAGAGUUCGUAGGUGGUUGAAAAAGUUAGUGGUGAAAUCCCAGAGCUUAACUCUGGAACUGCCAUUAAAACUUUUCAGCUAGAGUAUGAUAGAGGAAAGCAGAAUUUCUAGUGUAGAGGUGAAAUUCGUAGAUAUUAGAAAGAAUACCAAAUGCGAAGGCAGCUUUCUGGAUCAUUACUGACACUGAGGAACGAAAGCAUGGGUAGCGAAGAGGAUUAGAUACCCUCGUAGUCCAUGCCGUAAACGAUGUGUGUUAGACGUUGGAAAUUUAUUUUCAGUGUCGCAGCGAAAGCGAUAAACACACCGCCUGGGGAGUACGACCGCAAGGUUAAAACUCAAAUGAAUUGACGGGGACCCGCACAAGUAGUGGAGCAUGUGGUUUAAUUCGAAGAUACGCGCAGAACCUUACCAACACUUGACAUGUUCGUCGCGACUCUAAGAGAUUAGAGUUUUCGGUUCGGCCGGACGAAACACAGGUGCUGCAUGGCUGUCGUCAGCUCGUGUCGUGAGAUGUUGGGUUAAGUCCCGCAACGAGCGCAACCCUCACUUUUAGUUGCCAUCAUUAAGUUGGGCACUCUGAAAGAACUGCCAGUGAUAAGCUGGAGGAAGGUGGGGAUGACGUCAAGUCCUCAUGGCCCUUACGUGUUGGGCUACACACGUGCUACAAUGGUAUCUACAACAGGAAGCAAGACUGCGAAGUUAAGCAAAUCCCUAAAAGAUACCUCAGUUCGGAUUGCACUCUGCAACUCGAGUGCAUGAAGCUGGAAUUACUAGUAAUCGUGGAUCAGCGUGCCACGGUGAAUGCGUUCCCGGGUCUUGUACACACCGC